GAUGAACGCUAGCUACAGGCUUAACACAUGCAAGUCGCGGGGCAGCAUGGAUGUCCUUUCGGGGACAUCUGAUGGCGACCGGCGUACGGGUGAGUAACGCGUAUCCAACCUGCCCUUUACAACGGGACAGCCCGUCGAAAGGCGGAUUAAUACCGUAUGUUGUCAUGUUGAUGCAUAUUUUCAUGACCAAAGGCUUCGGCCGGACAGGGAUGGGCAUGCGGCGCAUUAGGCAGUAGGCGGGGUAACGGCCCACCUAACCGACGAUGCGUAGGGGUUCUGAGAGGAAGGUCCCCCACACUGGUACUGAGACACGGACCAG
rnacentral:rRNA from 1 species